GAAAGUAACUGGGUGCAGCAAACUGCACAGCCAGCCAAGGACUCUCAGAGGGCUGAGCAACAAGAAGGAGGCAGUCAUUGACCAUCCCGCUGGCGUGGUGGCUUAUGGCUAUAAUCCCAGCACUUUGGGAGGCUGAGAUGGGAGGAUUGCAGCCAUGAGUUCAAGACCAGCCUGGGCAACAAAGCAAGACACUCAUCUCUACAAAUUUUUUUAAGUUCAUUGGGAAGUAUCCACAAGCCUCAGAGCCAACCAGAUCAUCACACUGAGGAAGAAAUAGACUAGGGAUUCUUCAUCAUGAUCUUUAAAGAGCAACCAUGCUGACACCAUAAGAGUUCCAAGCAAGGAACCCUCUCAAACCCUGUUGCAGCCUGUCACAUGUACUGUGACAGCACCCAUGCACGUGGAAAGAGAUUCAAAGCAAACUCCUGAAUGGCAAGAUCUCCCUUCUCCCAUCAGAUGGUGGAGGCUCCAUCAGUCUUAGCACCUGAAAAAGGAUGAUGGCGUACCUCACCCACUGAAGACAGACAUGGAGUGAAACCAUGUUUUAAGCCAUUGAGGUUUGGAGGGGUUUUUGUUACUACAGCAACAAAUUUAGAAUCUUCUAAUACUGUGCAUAUAUGAAAAAAAGUACAGAAAGAAUUUUAAAAAUCUGAAGAAAAUUAAUUAUUUUAAUGUAAAGUGCUAAUUUCAAGAGUAUCCUAUCUAUUGCAGGAUCAGCUUAAAUAAAAAAUCUGUGUA
ensembl:lncRNA novel transcript